rnacentral:rRNA from 1 species
AUGGCGGCGGAGGAGAAGCAAGAGAUGGGAGCGGGAGCAGCGCCGGGAGAGAAGGGACCGACGACCGGGGACAAGGCGAUGGGGAAGACGGGAGCGACGGAGGAGAUGAAGGGAGACGCGGCCGCGGAUAAGCAGAAGGGGUCGACGGCGGAGAAGGAAGAGAAGGGAGCGACGGCCGGGGAUGAGGAAAAGGGGGACGAGGAGGAGGAGGCGGAGCAAAAGGGAGAGAAUCAGUCGGCGUCGGCGAAGAGGGGGCAUAAGAAGAAGGCGGAAGCAGAGGAGACUGCGGCGGAGAAUGGGGCGGCGGCGACGGAGAGGGAAAGAAGGGAGCGACAAAGUUUUAGCAGAACGAAGGGACAACGGCCGGAGGAGAAGGGAGCGAUGGAAGAGGUGGCCGGCAAAAAAGAGAUCUUUUUCUUCAAGGCCAGUGCUGUCAUCACCUUGGAGAGCUCGGAUGGGAUGCUGUUCACGGUGUCGGAGGAGGCGGCACGGCUGUCCGUGCCCCUCGCCGACAUGAUCGACCAGGGCUGCGCCGAAGGCAUCAUCCAGCUACCCAACGUGGACGCCACGGCCCUCGCCACGGUGAUCGAGUACUGCAACAAGCACGCCGACGCCGCCUCUGCCAACAGCCGCGCCAAUGAGGGCGGCAGCAGCUGCAACUCCGAGGCAUCCGUGGAGGCGCUGAUGGAGUGGGACCGCAAGCUCGUCGACGGCCUCAGCCAGGACGCCCUCUGCGACGUCAUCAUCGCCGCUAAGUUCCUCCGCAUCAAGGGGCUCUUCGACGCUGCCUGCCAGAAGGUCGCCGUCGUGGACAUGGUCAAUUCCAAGACCCCCGGGCAGAUGCACCAGAUAGAGGAGGAAGACAUGUGCACAUGGUUCUCUGGACUUACUCCCUUUUCUGAGAAGGGGACGGCGGCAGCGGAGGGGGCAAGAACCAAUGGUCAACGGCCGGAGGAGAAGGGAGCGAUGGCAGAGGAGAAGGAGCAGGUUGCUGGCGAAAACGACACAUUUUUCUUCAGGGCCAGCGGAAAAAUCAUCACCUUAAAGAGCUCGGAUGGGAUGCUGUUCAAGGUGUCGGAGGCUGCAGCACGGCUGUCCGUGGUCCUCGCCGACAUGAUCGACCAGGACUGCGCCAAAGGCAUCAUCCAGCUGCCCAAUGUGGACGCCAGGGCCCUCGCCACGGUGAUUGAAUACUGCAAUGAGCACGCCGACGCCACCGCCACCGCCAAUCCCGACGCCAACCACGGUGUCGCUGAGGGCAGCAGCAGCUGCAACUCCGAGGCAUCCAGUGAGGUGCUGAAGGAGUGGGACCGCAAGCUUGUCGACGGCCUCAGCCAGGACGCCCUCUACGACCUCAUCAUGGCCGUCAACUUCCUCCACAUCAAGGGACUCCUCGACGCUGCCUGCCAGAAGGUCGCCGACAUGAUCAAGGGCAAGAGCGUGGAGCAGACGCGCAAGAUGUUCGGCAUCGCCACCGACUUCACCGAGGAGGAGGAGGAGGAACUGCGUAAAGAGAGUCCAUGGGCCUUCGAGUAA